rnacentral:rRNA from 1 species
UACGUAGGGUGCGAGCGUUAAUCGGAAUUACUGGGCGUAAAGCGUGCGCAGGCGGUUCGUUGUGUCGGCGGUGAAAGCCCCGGGCCCAACCUGGGAAUGGCCGUUGAAACUGGCGAACUGGAGUGUGGCAGAGGGGGGUGGAAUUCCGCGUGUAGCAGUGAAAUGCGUAGAGAUGCGGAGGAACACCGAUGGCGAAGGCAGCCCCCUGGGCUGACACUGACGCUCAGGCACGAAAGCGUGGGGAGCAAACAGG